rnacentral:tRNA from 1 species
GCGGAAGUGGCGUAACUGGCAGCCGCGCUGGGUUUAGGUCCCAGUGCCCGCAAGGGCGUGCGGGUUCGAGUCCCGCCUUCCGCA